rnacentral:rRNA from 1 species
CCUACGGGAGGCAGCAGUGAGGAAUAUUGGUCAAUGGACGAGAGUCUGAACCAGCCAAGUAGCGUGAAGGAUGACUGCCCUAUGGGUUGUAAACUUCUUUUAUAUGGGAAUAAAAUGUUCCACGUGUGGGAUUUUGUAUGUACCAUAUGAAUAAGGAUCGGCUAACUCCGUGCCAGCAGCCGCGGUAAUACGGAGGAUCCGAGCGUUAUCCGGAUUUAUUGGGUUUAAAGGGAGCGUAGGUGGGUUGUUAAGUCAGUUGUGAAAGUUUGCGGCUCAACCGUAAAAUUGCAGUUGAAACUGGCAGGCUUGAGUACAGUAGAGGUAGGUGGAAUUCGUGGUGUAGCGGUGAAAUGCUUAGAUAUCACGAAGAACUCCGAUUGCGAAGGCAGCUCACUGGACUGCAACUGACACUGAGGCUCGAAAGUGUGGGUAUCAAACAGGAUUAGAUACCCCAGUAGUC